AUAUCCAUGGCAGGUGGGGUUCCCGCUCUGUGCUUUGGAGACCCCCUGCCUCUGUCUCUGUACAGGGGAGCUUCUUCCUUUGUUCUUCCCACUUCUAUCUUGCCUACUAAACUCUGGGCUCCUUAAAACCGCUCCACGUAUGUCCGUGUCGUUUUGUCUAAGCUGGCAUGAGGACCAAGAACCUUGGUGUUCCUCCACUCAUCGGAGCCGUAUCAUGCAUUCGAAGCAGUGCAGUGGGAAGGGAAGGUAGAGAGAAGGUAAGAGAUGACUCCUUCUCCAAAUGCAUUUUGGGCCUCAGUGGUGUCUCCUUUAAUUGCUGGUUUCAUGCCCAUAGUUCCCUUGCCCCAAGGGGUCUUUGGUGGGCUGUUCUCCCUCCUUCCUUAUGGGUGGUGCAUGCUAAAAGUUUGGUCACCAGUAGACCUGUGACUUCCUGGGGACUUACUGAUCCUCUGUGUUUGCUAUAGUUAGAGUGGGUUAUGGGGUAUUUCUGCAAUUGGUCUGGUGGUGCAGUGGGUCAAGGGUGGAGGAUCCUCCAGCACAGCAAUGGCACCAUAGGUGUGCAAACAGAAUGGUGCCUGCAGUCCAGGGUUCUCAGCCUAACAGACAGUUGUGGGCCCUGCCCAUUUCUUGGUUGUUCAACCUAGUGGUUCUCCCUCCAGCAUCCACUCUGGGAUUAGGCAUGGACAGCUGGGUUUGUUCCAGUCGUUCUGCACCCAGAUAACUGAGCCAUGAGGCUCCUUGGGAAAGAAACCAUGGCUUUCUAUCAGGCCAUACCCUUUCAAGUUCAGUGUUGCAGAGGGAGGGAUGCCCAGGUCCCAUGCUGGCCCACAAGCCCACUCCACUCUUUUAUGUGUUUUGAGUGUUGGUGGUCCUCUCCUGCUUGAACUCCAGCCACAAGUCUCAGUUUGAUGUCCCUGGGUGGUGUGCUUAAAUUCUGAGAAGUUAGGACGGAGCCCAUUGUUUGUCCACUGGCUUCAUGGGGUCAAGCAUCAGCUGUGCUUGGGGUGCAAACUACAUCCAGGCGACCAGCAAAACACUCAGGUGGCAUACAGGUGGCAUAGUGGAGGCUGUGUUGUGGGCACACUUCUGCAGAAAUGGCCAGACAGGUGGUCUUAGGAGGGGCUGUCAGGCAAGGGUACACAUGGAUCAGAUGCAAUUCAAUCCCAUAGUAAUGGUUACCCUGCUCUCUCCUGUCCUGGCUGAAAGCAGGAGCUGCAGCAAGAUCAAGAUCCUUGGGGGAUGGCCACCAAUGAUUGUGUUUUGCUGCAGCUGCAUGGUGGUGGGGAAAUUUCUGGGAUCCACAUGGGUUCAAGUUAUGCCUCUCCCUGAUAUACAGGUGGCUCCCCUGCCAGUCUGAAGAUCUAUGGGGGUAGUGGGAACUCCUGUAGCUAAGAUUCCAGAGGUCUGUGGGGAAAGUGUGGCAUCCUAGGAUUCCUUCACUCACCCCUUUCUUCAGUGCAAUUUAGGUUCGGAGGUCAGUUCUGGAGCCCAAACAAAAUUCCCAGCUUCCUCCCUCUUCAACCACAACAUCUACCUCACCUUUUCAUCCAUUUUCAGUGUGUUUUCCCAAAAUACCUGUUUUUCCUCUCUUCUUUAAAGAUCUAUGUUGACCAUAAAUUGAUAGUAGUGAGUUGGGGUGUGUGUGUGCCUGUGUGCCU
rnacentral:lncRNA from 1 species